rnacentral:rRNA from 1 species
GACGAACGCUGGCGGCGUGCCUAAUACAUGCAAGUAGAACGCUGAAGGAGGAGCUUGCUUCUCCGGAUGAGUUGCGAACGGGUGAGUAACGCGUAGGUAACCUGCCUGGUAGCGGGGGAUAACUAUUGGAAACGAUAGCUAAUACCGCAUAAGAGUAGAUGUUGCAUGACAUUUGCUUAAAAGGUGCAAUUGCAUCACUACCAGAUGGACCUGCGUUGUAUUAGCUAGUUGGUGGGGUAACGGCUCACCAAGGCGACGAUACAUAGCCGACCUGAGAGGGUGAUCGGCCACACUGGGACUGAGACACGGCUCAGACUCCUACGGGAGGCAGCAGUAGGGAAUCUUCGGCAAUGGACGGAAGUCUGACCGAGCAACGCCGCGUGAGUGAAGAAGGUUUUCGGAUCGUAAAGCUCUGUUGUAAGAGAAGAACGAGUGUGAGAGUGGAAAGUUCACACUGUGACGGUAUCUUACCAGAAAGGGACGGCUAACUACGUGCCAGCAGCCGCGGUAAUACGUAGGUCCCGAGCGUUGUCCGGAUUUAUUGGGCGUAAAGCGAGCGCAGGCGGUUAGAUAAGUCUGAAGUUAAAGGCUGUGGCUUAACCAUAGUACGCUUUGGAAACUGUUUAACUUGAGUGCAAGAGGGGAGAGUGGAAUUCCAUGUGUAGCGGUGAAAUGCGUAGAUAUAUGGAGGAACACCGGUGGCGAAAGCGGCUCUCUGGCUUGUAACUGACGCUGAGGCUCGAAAGCGUGGGGAGCAAACAGG